AUUGAACGCUGGCGGCAGGCCUAACACAUGCAAGUCGAACGGUAACAGGAAGCAGCUUGCUGCUUUGCUGACGAGUGGCGGGCGGGUGAGUAAUGUCUGGGAAACUGCCUGAUGGAGGGGGAUAACUACUGGAAACGGUAGCUAAUACCGCAUAAUGUCGCAAGACCAAAGAGGGGGACCUUCGGGCCUCUUGCCAUCGGAUGUGCCCAGAUGGGAUUAGCUAGUAGGUGGGGUAAAGGCUCACCUAGGCGACGAUCCCUAGCUGGUCUGAGAGGAUGACCAGCCACACUGGAACUGAGACACGGUCCAGACUCCUACGGGAGGCAGCAGUAGGGAAUAUUGCACAAUGGGCGCAAGCCUGAUGCAGCCAUGCCGCGUGUAUGAAGAAGGCCUUCGGAUUGUAAAGUACUUUCAGCGGGGAGGAAGGGAGUAAAGUUAAUACCUUUGCUCAUUGACGUUACCCGCAGAAGAAGCACCGGCUAACUCCGUG
rnacentral:rRNA from 1 species